AGGCCCCGUUGGAGCCGCGCACCUCCACCACCAGCUCCUCCAUGUUGUGCGCGGCGGCGCGGUGCGGGAGGCCCAGGCCCAGCGCCUCGCCCUCUGCUUUUCUCUUUCUCUCUCUCUCCCGGAGUCGGAGGAAGAGGAGGCCAAGGGUUCUUGCAAGAAAUUGGAGCAGCCUGCAUGCAGUUCACUACAGCUUGGUGAUGGUCUCUGUGAAGAAAUGUGGCUGUGGCAAAGCUUUUGCAGGAAAGAUAUAGGUGCUGCGCCCUUCAAAAAACUCCAAUAAUUUAUUUCUGAACCAAAUAAAAUGAGAUUUUCAGCAAAACCAUCAUGAUAUUAAAUGGAAGUCUGCUAAAAGAGCAUCCCUUCUAAUUUAACAACAGCAACAAAGAGUGAGAAUUCUAGGAGCCACUUGUCAUACUGCCAGCAUGGACAGUGGGAUCAAGUGCAUCCUCAGCAUGUUUGCAGAUGACUCCAAGCUGAGUGGUGCAGUUGACACAGACUAGAGGGAAGGGGCACCAUCCAGAGGGACCUGGACAGUCUUGAGAUGUGGACCCAAGCCGACCUUAUGAAGUUCAAGGCCAAAUGCAAGGUCCUGUACCUAGGUUGGGCAAUCCCAAACACAGAUGCAGGUUGGACAGAGAAUGGCUUGAGAGCAGGCCUGAGUGGAAGGAUUUAGGGGUAUCGGUUGAUGAAAAGUUCAACAUGAGCUGGCAAUGUGCACUUGCAGCCCAGAAGGCCAACCAUAUCCUGGGUUGCAUCAAGAGAAGCAUGACCAGCAGGCCGAGGGAGGUGAUUCUACCCUUCUACUCUGCUCUUGGAAGACUGCACCUGGGGCUUCCAACACAAAAAUGACAUGGAACUGUUGGAGCAGGUCCAGAGGAGGGCCAUGAAGUUGAUCAGAAGGCUGCAGCAUCAUUUUUCCUUUUGUACUUACAACAAUUUUCAGAAGAGAUGGGGAAAAUGAAGUGUAAAUUUAUUUUAAGUGCUCUCUAAAUCUUUUGGAACAGUGACACACCUCAAUCUGGGAGUUGGUGGAAGUAAUAUUUAAGCAUGGAAAAUAUUUCAAUGACUAACAGACGUGGAUACGACAUGUAUAUAUGUCAGGAAAUGUAGGAAAAUACUCAAACCACAAUUUAGUGGGUUUUUUUGUUUGUUUGUUUGUUUGGUUUUCCAAUUUCUUUUUGGAAUCUGAAUCUAUAUAAAUAGAAGGAAAAUAAUAUGGUAUUCUUCAAUUGCUGUUGUUAGUGACGUAUAUGUUAAUAAAAAAUAAGUGCCCUAAAAAUUUUACUUUACUUAAUCUAUGUCAUAUUAAUCAUAAUUAACAUUCUAUGGAAUCUUAAUAAAUACAACAAUGUGUCUAUCAAAACAGGAAGCUUUUUUCCUGAUCUUAGUGAGAGUCUUAGUAAGAAAAUAAUAGGUACUCUUACUAAACUCUCUAUUUUAGAGAGAGUUAGUUAGUUAGUUAGUUACUACACAAGUAAUCAGUAUCAGAUGGUUUUCUGGGAAAUUUGUAUUGUUACAGUCUCUUGAUAUCUCUUAGAACUACUUUCUUGACCAGCCAGUCUUGUACAAAGAUAAAAAGAAAGGUGUUGUCAGCUUGCAGUUUUUUGGUCAGUACCUUAACAGAACAGCUCAUGUUUGAUCCUUUUUUUUUUUUUUCCCCCCUCCCCAUUAUCACACCACUGUUUUAGAUGAACCGUAGUGCAAAAACACUGCUUUUUCUAUCAUGGUGUGUAAGGCUGUCAUUAUCAAGUGAUUAUUCUAUUCAUUUUUCUUUUUCCCUAAAAUAAGGCAUGAGCCUCCUAAUCUUUCAUUCACAUGAAACCAAACAGUUACAAUUUUUUCAGAAGCAGUGCUGAAGAUAUUUUGUCCCCUUUAAUAGGCUGUGGGUGGUUGAUGCUUGGAGGGUUUUUUUAAAGUCAGAUUAAUUGGUCAUUUUCUAUUGGGAGCUCUUAAAGCAGAGGUUAAACAUAGGCAGAUUUUGUCCCUGUUAGGACUAAGAGAGAUAAAAGAGAAUUUUUCUUUUCAGUAGAGUUUGGCCCCUGAACCAGAGGCUAUAGUAAUAACAAUAAGUGGGACAUUUCUUGAUCAUUAUCUGUAGGAAAUAUAAUAAAACAGCUACAGAGGAAAUGUGUUUUGAAUUACCUUGUUGAAAAUAAUAUUCAGUAAAUGUUUGACAUUAGAAACAAUAACAUCUUGUUUCCCGUAAGUGCUUUGCCUCAGUCUUCACUGAUGGUCAGGCUCCUCAUGCCUGCCAGGAUCCUGAACCUCUAGGUGUGAAUGAGAUGAAUGGAUUCUGUCCCACUGUAACAGUGGAACAAGUCUGAGACCUCCUCAUGAAACUGAAUGUCUUUAAGUCCAGGGGGAUGGAUGACAUCCAUUCCAGGGUUCUGAGAGAGAUGGCUGGUGUGGUUGCCGAGCAGAUCUCUGUAUUUGAAAAAUCAUGGCUGUCUGGUGACAUCUCCAGUGACUGGAGAAAGGAAACACGACUCCCAUUUUUAAGAAAGGGAGAAAGGAAGACCUGGGGAACUAGAGGCCAUUGAGCCUCACCUCUGUGCCUAGGAAGAUCAUGGAGCAGAUCCUCCCAGAAGCUAUGUUAAGGCCAAUACGACACAAAGAGGUGAUUAGAGACAGCCAUCAUGGCUUCACCAAGGGCAGAUCUUGCCUGACUAACCUGGUGGCCUUCUAUGGUGGAGUGAUG